GGCGGCGUAGCCAAGUGGUAAGGCGGAGGUCUGCAAAACCUUUACUCAGCGGUUCGAAUCCGCUCGCCGCCU
rnacentral:tRNA from 1 species